AUGGCCUUGGCCUCCUUCGCGGUCUCGCCCCCAAUCGCCGCCGUCCUCCGCCGCGCCAUGUCGUUCUCCUCAGUCUCCGCUGCGUCGCAGGCGAGGGUGGGUGUGGUACAGAUGACCUCCGUGGGGGACCUCGACGCCAACUACGCCACCUGCUCCCGCCUCACCAAGGAAGCUGCUGCGGCUGGAGUCAAAUUUCUUUGCUUCCCUGAGGUCUUCUCCUUCAUAGGAUCCAAGGAUGGCGAGUCUGUUAAGCUAGCCGAACCAUUAGAUGGUCCAAUAAUGCAGAGAUAUUGCUCACUUGCAAAUGAGUCAAGUAUGUGGUUGUCUCUUGGAGGGUUUCAAGAAAGGGGCCCGGAUGAUUCGCACCAGUACAACACUCAUGUAUUAAUCGAUGAAUCUGGAAAAGUUAGGAGCUCAUACCGGAAAAUUCAUUUGUUUGAUGUGGAUGUACCUGGCAACAUGGUGUAUAAGGAAAGCCGUUUCACGACAGCAGGUGAUACCGUCGUAGUGGUGGAUAGCCCUUUUGGACGAUUGGGCCUUACUGUUUGCUAUGAUUUGAGAUUUCCAGAGCUUUACCAAUGUUUGCGUUUUAAGCAUCAAGCUCAGGUCUUGCUCGUACCAUCUGCAUUCACAAAGGUAACUGGGGAAGCACACUGGGAAAUUCUCCUUCGUGCUCGUGCAAUUGAGACACAAUGUUAUGUUAUUGCUGCGGCUCAAGCUGGAAAACACAAUGAGAAAAGAGAAAGCUACGGCGAUUCUAUAAUUAUUGACCCAUGGGGAACAGUUAUAGCUCGACUUCCAGAUCGACUGUUCACUGGAUUUGCAGUAGCAGAUAUCGACUUGUCAAAAGUUGAGGCUGUGCGAAGCAAAAUGCCAAUCUCUGAGCACCGCAAGUUUGAGAGCAUCUGA
rnacentral:rRNA from 1 species